UCUCCGUAGGUGAACCUGCGGAGGGAUCAUUACAGAGUUCGUGUCCUCGCGGGUAUAUCUCCCACCCUGUGUUAUUGCUACCUUUGUUGCUUUGGCGGGCCGCCCUCGGCUACCGGCGCCGGCCGGUACGCGCCAGCCAGAGGACCCCAAACCCUGAACGUCAGUGUCGUCUGAGUACUAUACAAUAGUUAAAACUUUCAACAACGGAUCUCUUGGUUCUG
rnacentral:misc_RNA from 1 species